ensembl:lncRNA
GCGCAGCGCGGAGGGAGCGGCGGGGAGAGGAGAAGGCAGAGCGCAGCCACGAACUGUAAUAAUAAACCCUGCAAAGGGCAUCUGAGGAGAAGGGAGGGAGGCGGAGGCAGCCGCCCGCCCGCCGCUUUGCCUCGGCCGUGCCUGUCUGGGAGGGGAGAAGACGAGAAUUUCCUGAAAAGCUGUGGAGAAGAGAGAUAUAAACUCCCAGCUGGAGCUGUCGUGUCUUUCUCCAUUCCCUACUACCUCAAAACAACAUGUGCCCAGUUUCCGCAAUCUAUCUGUAGUCCAUCCUCUGUAACCCAUUUGAGAACCUAAAAUUCACAUCCUAAAAUUCCUUCUGGAAUCUGGAACCAGCAAGAAUGGCUGUAGGAACCAGAGAACCUGUGUGCUGCAAUUCCCAGUUUUCUCACCUCUGUCCUUCAGCCAUCCGAUUCCAGCACUGUGCACAACACACAAUACUGGCAAGACUCUGGUCUGGAAAUCCAUCAGACUCAAGCCUGCUAGAGGUGUUUGAGAGCUGCCUGGUGCUGUGAUGUGUUGGUUUGGAAUUCCCGGGAGCACCUGAAGAAGGAAGGUGUUUAGAAGGUGCACAAGAUUCUGGGUGCAGGUGAUAUCUUGGCAACUAGAACUAGAUCAUGCACACAACUCAUUGUAAACCCAGCCAAACCCCAGAAUUCAGUUAUAUUUGCUUGUAGCUUUUGUGAACAUGCAGUUUCCAUUAAGGAUAGCUGCAUCGCUCCAUUACUUUCAUGGAUCAGUCCUAAAAGCAUCACAAAGAAACUCACCACAUGGGUGAAAAGAUAAAACAUAUAUUGACAGUUUUCCUUUCUUUCAAAUUCUUCAAUCACUUGUGCUAUUCCUAUUCUUAAGUUCUAUUUAUCAACAUAUAAAUCUGAGGAGGAAAGUGCAUAAAAAAACUUGGAAAUAUUUAAAAAACUGUAAAGAGGGCAAUGUGGAUUAUAAACUAAGUAUAAGAAAUGAUGUGUGAUGUUUUUUGUGGCAACAAGAUGGAAGUUAGAGUGGAAGAUUGUCCAUCAGCUGAUACUUUAAGAAGACACAAACUGUGGGUUUCAUUUUCAGCUUAGUUUUCUGGGAGCUGGAUUCAAUGGGUUAGUUUUUAAUGCAUAACCUCCAAAUUUAUGAGAGUUGUUUUCAUUUAUUUUUAUUACUAAACAAAAUCAGCUAUGCAUAAAUAAUAGAAGAAACCAAGUUGUCUUGAAAAUUUCCAAAUAAGGACAGCUUGGAAUGGAAGGACCACACACCAGCUGCCAUACGAACGGGUUCAUAUUUAACAACCUGAAGUUCUUCACAUUUCCAGAGUGAAUUAUUGGUUUAACCUCUUGUAGCUCCUCUGCAAUGAUGGCUGACAGUGGACACUUGACAGCAAGAUGUGAUCUGAAAAUAUGCAAAAUACUUAAAUAAUAUAGCAGAGGGAGGGAAAUCGUGGCAAGGCCUGGACAGUUAGAUUUGCCUCCCUGAGUGCAUUGAAGCUACCUACAUGUAUAGAGUUAAGUACCCUGCAAAGGUUAAGCAUGUACAAAUUAAAGUGAAAUUCUAUCAAGGAAACUUUGUUAUGGACUGAAAUGAAGUGAGUUCUUCCUUUAGACCAGACAGAAAAAUAAUUUAAGAGUAUUACAGGAGAAAAAGUUGUAUGAUUCAGAGUCUUUGGAGGGAAAAAAGUUGAGCAAAUUUCUGUCCUGAGACACAGUGAAGUGAGUAGAGCUCCCUAAGUGACAGUAAAUGGCUCAAAGAGCUGCUGUUGAAGGGAAGGAAAAGACACUGGUGCUGAUUAUCUUUAUUUUGUCCCAGUCCGUACUAGCUCAUGAUGCCCACCUUUGCAGUUGUGCACUUGGAAAACAGCAGCCACAAUAACACUAGGUGCCUAAGAGUUCAGGUGAAGUACUUCUUUGGACUUGCAAAACAAAAAGCAGAAAAGAGUGACAAUAUUGUUUUGCUUGCUGGAUACUCUUACCCUCUACUUGCUCUUCCUGGAUCUUAAUUCAAUUGUGGUCCACUGAUCAUUGGCUCUUAAAAAAUUUGUCAGUUUUUACUAUAUGGAAAAAAAUGCUUUGUCUCAUUUUAUAUCGCCUCCCUGACAGAUCAGUUGAUUAACUCCUAAAUCUUAUGUUGGAGUAAAACAGAACAAUGAUUCUCCAGUCAGGGUUCCCGUGGGUUUUACAGGAGGUUAGGGUUUCUUUUGUAGAGUCAGGCACAGAAACCAGGAAUGGACAAUUAUCUGAAUUAGUGAAUCAUGACCAAUCUAGAAUCUGUUGGUCUCUUUAAUGUAGCCUUUCAGAGCAUGUGCAUGUUACUUCCAGGACACUGAUGUAGUUGGUAUCAGUUCCAAUAAUACAAAUAUUUAUACCAAAAUACUAAGCACUAGUAGAUCAAAAGGCCCAUUAUGGCUUUAUAUUUUGAAGAAACCUUGCAUAUUAACCAACAAUUGCAUCACUAAAUGUUUAGGACUUGGGUUGACCUUGUAUUUUUGCAUAAACUAAUUAAGUCCUUCAAGUUGUGCUGCCUGAUUGCCAGAAUAUUUAAAGCAGUAUCUGCAUAUAGACAACAGGGAAUCUUCUGAGUUCCCUGAAGACUCUAAAAGGUGGUGUGUCUCAAGAACAGGGCUUGCUUUGUUGUAUGACAUUGCCACUCUGGUGCCUGAGUAUUACAAAGACACCAUUAACUGAAGUUUGUUGGAGAACAGAGCAAUGCCUAAUUUUCUUGUAAGGAAAUUAUGAUAAAUUACUUGAAGACAGAAAUAUUUAGAAACUUGGGGAGGAAGUACAAUAUGGGCUAGACUUCUUGAAAACUCAGGUACUUUGUUGUGGAAAACAGUGGGAAAACAUUUCAUUCUGACUAAGAGUCUAGUUCUGCCAAGAGGGAUAAAGAAUUGGCAGGUGUUCCCUGGAGAGAGAGAGAUGGAGAACAGGCAGGGGAGAAAGCCUUAGGCAUUAUGAUACUUCAGAAGAAAAGUUAAAAUAGAGAUCAAAAGAUUUGUUGUUGAUAACUACCAAUCAAAAUUAUACCCAAAGCGGGUAGCACAUGUGUACACUUUGCUCAAAGCAACAUGAGACCUCUCCUCAUUACAUUGACAGAUUAUGUGAAUGUCAUUCUGAUUUUUAUAUAUAUAUAAGCAUGUGUGUGUACAAGCACACACACACACACACACACACACACACACACACACACACACACAUAUAUAUAUUUAUAUAUACUUGAAAUGCUGCCAUGCUUGAGAUGUUUAAGAGACAUGUGUAAGGGCAACUCUUAGACCUUCACUUCUGAAGUAGCACUUACUCACACUAGUGGCUGCACAAAUGUGUUAAUUGCUGUUCCAAGCAAUAGUUCAAGAGAUGAGCUUUUCAAUUCAAGUCAAUUAAUUAAAUGCAGUAUGCUUAAUUUAAAUUCAUGAGAAUUUUUUUAAUUAAAACUGCAUACUACAGUUUUUCUAUUAUGGGACAUGCAUUCAAUUAUUCUCUGCAAUUAAGUGAGAAGCUGCAACAUUACCUUAGUAACACUUCAUGAAUUUAAGUCAAACUUAAGUUUGGCUAUAAAGCAGAGUUUAAGGUUAAAUUUAAUUUCUCUGGGAUUCAAGACUGGAGGAUGAAUUGCUACUAGUUCACCACAUCUAGAAAAGCAAGAAUAGAAGAUAUCAGUUUAAUUUAAAUCAAUUUGGUCAGCUUAUUUUCAAAUGCCUGGAUUUUGAUGAUUUUUUUUUCACCAAAAUUUUUUUUCAAUAUAAAUAUUGAAAAAUAUAAAUAAAUACAUAAAUUAAACCAAGGAAAAUUCAUUCUAGAUUGGGUACAAAGCCACUCAGGUUCACACUGCCAAUGAUGCUGAAAGUGUUGAUGAUCUGGGCACAAUACAUUACAACAACUGUGUAUUAGAAAACAAAUAUCCCUUAAAUUUCUGCAUCCAGACCUGGGCCCAGCAGGAUUCUUGAAAGCAAUCAUAAAAGGGACAGAGUUUGGGUCAGACAGGGACAUAAAUAUUUGUGUUUGGGGAACAUAUAAAGGGGAAAAGAAUCAGUUAAUUUACUCAACUAUACCUAGGGGGAAAGUUAAAUUAUCACAGCUCAGGGACCCCUUAAUCCUGUAUAAUACAUUAUAGCAUUUCCUUUAGAGUAUUUCAGGACAAGUGCCAAGAAAUUUGAAGUUAUGGAAGUGAUGGGUAUGAAAUUAAUUGCAAUUUUUUUGCUAGUUUCAUAGGCUUAAAACAAAAAAUACCCCACCAAACUUUCCCUUUGACCAAAAUUACUUAUAAGUUCCUCACUACAGAAAGACAUGGUCAGAAUCUUCUUGCUUCAAAAUUCUCCUUUUUUCAGUUGUUUUCAAAGCACUGCACUAUGAUGUCUCUCACAAAUUGUAUCAUCAUUUACUUUUCCUCUUUCUGCCUGCAGGGUAUCUCUGAUAAAGGUCAUGACUGUUCACCAACACAUCUCCCAUUCAUUUGAAAGAGACUAAAUGUAGUUACCACAACUAAGCUUCAGUCCAUUAUCCUUCAUCCAAUAACUCUCACUUUUUCCUGGUAUUUAACAUAACAGUGGCCAAAAAACAGGCAGUAAAAGAUUUAAGUUAGAAGAAAAGUGAAAAGAUCCCUUUUAAGUUGGUGAACAGAGCUUCUUAUAGAUACAUGUGUGUCUGUGUGUCUGUGUGUCUGUGUCUGUGUGUGUUCACAGAAUACUUUGUAUUUUACCACUUCUGCUGAAGCCUGUGAUCCAGCAAUUCCAGCAUGUCAUGAAAAAGAAAUUGUGCAUUAAAAACAAUAAAAAAGAAAUUGAAAAGAGUUCCAAAUUACAGACUCCUUCCUAGAUUUAGCAGAUUAGUUCACUUAUGCUGUAUUUUACACUGAUUAAUGAAAAUCCAGUUCUUGGCUGGAGGGGGAGUUAUCCUAGCUCAUACCUGCCAGAUAUUCCAUGUAAAAUGUCAGAAAUGCUUUUCUUGCAUGGUCAUUUUCAUCCCAACCUCGUUUGGGUUCAAUGGAGUUCUGUUCUGGGACCAAAAGGUCACAAUCAGUCUUUCAUUCCUAGAUUAUAACACAGCCAUAAACACACAGUGUCUGCUUCCUUCAGUCUACUGCCUUGUUUUUGAUGACAUUUGGUUUUUCUCCUUCUUAUUUUUCUUUUUUUUUUUUUUUUUCCUUUAAUCCAGAAAAAUAGUGGUUAGUCCUUAAAGCAGAACUUCCCUCUCUUAAACAGCUGCUACUGGAGUAUUCAAACCAUGGGCAGAUGGAGGAGUGGGCAGCUGUGUGUUACAAUCCAGAGUACUCACCUCUGCAGAUGACAAUGGUUGCUUGCUGUAAGGAAGUCAGUAAUGCAUUUUAAGUGGCUUUUAGUGGAAGCUUUCUUGGUUUGUAUCUGCCGCUAUUAAAAAAGAACUUUGUUCA